GUGCCAGCAGCCGCGGUAACACGUAGGAUCCGAGCGUUAUCCGAAUUCACUGGGCGUAAAGCGCUUGCAGGCGGCUGGAUAAGUUGGAUGUGAAAUCUCCUGGCUCAACUGGGAGGGGCCGUUCAAGACUGUUCAGCUAGAGGGCAAUAGAGGGAGGUGGAAUUCCAGGUGUAGUGGUGAAAUGCGUAGAUAUCUGGAGGAACACCAGUGGCGAAAGCGGCCUCCUGGAUUGCAUCUGACGCUCAGAAGCGAAAGCUAGGGGAGCGAACGGGAUUAGAUACCCCUGUAGUCC
rnacentral:rRNA from 1 species